rnacentral:rRNA from 1 species
AGAACGAACGCUGGCGGCGUGCCUAACACAUGCAAGUCCAACGUGAAAGGGGAGCAAUCCCCCGGUAGGGUGGCAAACGGGUGAGUAAUGCGUAGGAAUCUACCCACGAGUGGGGGAUAGCCCGGAGAAAUCCGGAUUAAUACCGCAUAUGCCCUACGGGGUAAAGCGGGGGAUCGUAAGACCUCGCGCUGGUGGAUGAGCCUACGUCCGAUUAGUUAGUUGGUGGGGUAAAGGCCUACCAAGGCGUACGAUCGAG